CAGCUUUGUCCUAAGUCAAACUUGUCUAGCUUUGACUAAGUUUAUAGAAAAGUACAUUAACAUCUGUGAUAUCAAACUAUAUAUCACGGUGUAUCUAAUGAAUCUAGUUUGAUGUUGUAGAUGUUUAUGCAUUUUUCUAUAAACUUAGUCAAGCUAGAGAAGUUUAACUUAGGACAAAGCUAC
rnacentral:pre_miRNA from 1 species